AAACUGCGAUAAGUAAUGUGAAUUGCAGAACUCAGUGAAUCAUCGAGUCUUCGAACGCACAUUGCGCCCCCUGGUAUCCCGGGGGGGCACGCCUGUCCGAGCGUCGUCAGCGAACCAUCGGGCUCCCCGUGCGGGGCCCGGCCCUGGGCCUGUACCCCCUGGAGGGUAGGCUCGCAAGUCACCGGAUGGUGCCCCUUGGAGGCCCCGAGCGCAGCGGCUGUCACUUGCUCGAGGAGGUCGUCCGGGUGGUCGCGCCACGCGGUUGUGUUGCGUGGAGGGCAAACCCCCCAACGUCAGCCCUACCGUGCCUUACCCCAAACGUUGACCUCGGAUCAGGCGGGGCUACCCGCUGAACUUAAGC
rnacentral:misc_RNA from 1 species